UACAGAGGGGGCAAGCGUUGUUCGGAAUUACUGGGCGUAAAGGGCGCGUAGGCGGCCUGUUAAGUCGAACGUGAAAUCCCCGGGCUCAACCCGGGAACUGCGUCCGAUACUGGCAGGCUUGAAUCCGGGAGAGGGAUGCGGAAUUCCAGGUGUAGCGGUGAAAUGCGUAGAUAUCUGGAGGAACACCGGUGGCGAAGGCGAUCUUCUGGACGGAUACUGACGCUGAGGCGCGAAAGCUAGGGGAGCAAACGGG
rnacentral:rRNA from 1 species